ACUAACCCUUGGGAGGUAGGCGCCUACGGUAGGGCUGGUAAUUGGGGUGAAGUCGUAACAAGGUAGCCGUAGGGGAACCUGCGGCUGGAUCACCUCCUUU
rnacentral:rRNA from 1 species